ensembl:snRNA U6 U6 spliceosomal RNA
GUGCUCACUUCAGCAGCAUAUAUACUAAAAUUGGGACAAUAGGGAGAAGAUUAGCAUGGGUCCUGUGCAAGGAUGACAUGCAAAUUCAUGAAGCAUUCCUUUUUUUG